CCUACGGGCGGCAGCAGUAGGGAAUAUUGCUCAAUGGGGGAAACCCUGAAGCAGCAACGCCGCGUGGAGGAUGAAGGUUUUCGGAUUGUUAACUCCUUUUGUUAGAGAAGAUAAUGACGGUAUCUAACGAAUAAGCACCGGCUAACUCCGUGCCAGCAGCCGCGGUAAUACGGAGGGUGCAAGCGUUACUCGGAAUCACUGGGCGUAAAGAGCGCGUAGGCGGGAUAGCAAGUCAGAUGUGAAAUCCUAUGGCUUAACCAUAGAACUGCAUUUGAAACUGUUAUUCUAGAGUAUGGGAGAGGUAGGUGGAAUUCUUGGUGUAGGGGUAAAAUCCGUAGAGAUCAAGAGGAAUACUCAUUGCGAAGGCGACCUGCUAGAACAUAACUGACGCUGAUGCGCGAAAGCGUGGGGAGCAAACAGGAUUAGAUACCCCUGUAGUC
rnacentral:rRNA from 1 species